rnacentral:lncRNA from 12 species
GGAAGAUUGCCCUUUCAUGGCCAACUUCCUGAUCUCCGGAGGGGAGAAAGCCCUGGCAUUACCUACCCCAUUGGCUUCUUUAUCUCAACCACACAAGCAGAGGGAAGGCAGGAAAAAGUGCAAGAUGGAAUCCUGAGAGUAAAAGAGAUCUACUGAAGUUGAAUAAUUCCAAGCCAAGCCUGCAGUCCAUUAGCGGUGGAAGAGGAGAGGAAUCCACCGUUGAGGCAUGUGAGCAGCCCCAAGCAACAGCAGAGUGGGUGAUCUCAAUAUGCCACAAGUUUAAGGACCCAGAAUGGGCCUCCUACGUUUUAGGUUUCAUCAUUAAACUAGACGCAGUGCAGA